rfam:Mus musculus chromosome 18, GRC primary reference assembly.
AGAUUGCAUGGAAGACUCUGCCAGUGACAUCUGUCACCCCAUAGAUUUGGGUGAUCUGACUGACUGCACAUGUUGUUUCCUUCUCCAUCAUUUUUCCAUGCAUAUCUUUCCUGAAGCUGAAUGCUAGGUUGAAGAAGUUAGCUUUCCAUGACAGGAGAGGACCAUUCUUAGGUCACAAUGAUAAGAGCAGGUAGACUUGCCUGCUAGAAACUCCAGACAAGUUUGUCAAGGUCCAUGUGAGGCUCUGUAAUUGAAUGGAAGAAUGGGAGCAGUAUAUACUUAAAAUAUUGCCUAUGAAGUUGUGAGUUUUAGUA